rnacentral:rRNA from 1 species
AACAAACGCUGGCGGCGUGCCUAACGCAUGCAAGUCGUACGAGAAAGGGUCCUUCGGGGCCUGAGUAAAGUGGCGCACGGGUGAGUAACGCGUGGAUAAUCUGCCCUUCAGUUGGGAAUAACUCAUCGAAAGGUGGGCUAAUACCGAAUAAUGCUGUGAGACCUCGGUUGAUCAGCCAAUGAGAGCCUCUGCUUGCAAGCCCUCGCUGAAGGAUGAGUCCGCGUACCAUUAGCUAGUUGGUAGGGUAAUGGCCUACCAAGGCGACGAUGGUUAGCUGGUCUGAGAGGAUGAGCAGCCACACUGGAACUGAGACACGGUCCAGACUCCUACGGGAGGCAGCAGUGAGGAAUCUUGCGCAAUGGGGGCAACCCUGACGCAGCAACGCCGCGUGAGUGAGGAAGGUCUUCGGAUCGUAAAGCUCUGUCGGAUGGAAAGAACCGCAUAGGGGUAAACAGCCCCUGUGUCUGACGGUACCAUCAAAGGAAGCACCGGCUAACUCCGUGCCAGCCGCCGCCGUAACAC